UACAGAGAGCACAAUCGUUGUCCGGAUUUACUGGGCGUAAAGCGUUUCGUAGGCGACUUACUAAGUUACUUUUCAAAGACCAGAGCUCAACUUUGGGAAGGGAAGUAAUACUGGUAGGAUCAGAAUUAUGUCGGGGCUAUUGGAACUGUCGGUGUAGGGGUGAAAUCCGUUGAUAUCGACAGGAACUCCGAGGGCGAAGGCAGAUAGCUAGGCAUAUAUUGACGCUGAUGAACGACAGCUAGGGGAGCGAAAGGG
rnacentral:rRNA from 1 species